rnacentral:RNase_P_RNA from 1 species
CGGGUCGGUCGAGACGAUCGCGUGGCGUGUUCGACGUCCCGAGGAAAGUCCGGGCUCCGCAGAGCAGGAUGGUGGAUAACGUCCACUCGGGGAAACCCGCAGGCCAGUGCCACAGAAAACAGACCGCUUGCUUCGGCAGGCAAGGGUGAAACGGUGGUGUAAGAGACCACCAGUUCCCGCGGCGACGCGGGAAGCUCGGUAAACCCCAUUCGGAGCAAGGCCAGACAGAAUGCGUGACGAGGGCUGCUCGCCCCAAGCAUUCGGGUAGGCCGCUCGACCCCUUGGGCAACCAAGGGGCUAGAUGGAUGAUCGUCACGGCGCGAGGUCAGCCUCGCGGCGACAGAACCCGGCUUAUGACUGGCCCGUCCG